GUUUAUAUAUUCAAGGGUUUAUGAUCUACGUGGAGUACCAAAAAAAGUUUUGUCUCCAUGUUACUUAGAAUCUCGAUAGUUAGAUAUUUUCCUGCAGUAGUGAAUAUUGUACGAUUACGGCUCAGAACAAGAUGAACUAGAAUCAGAGUGUAAGUAGCUAGUGCUAAUGUGAAUCGCGUAUGGUUAUGUAUAAAACAAUUCUGGUUUCUUGAAUUGGACAAUAAAGUUAACGUUAGCUAGCGUUAGCUAACUUCAACUUUGUCUUUGGACCAGUUUAUCAUCGGAGUGAAGUGGAGGAGUUUGAUAGGGGGGUAUCUAAACAAUUGUGCACAAAAGGGAGACCAUUCAACUAGAUGAAGUUAUAUGGAGGUCUAGAUGGAGUGAUAUGGAGGGGUGAUUGUCAUUGUGACAAUUGUUCAAAAUAAACAAUGUAUAUCUUGAA